UUUGGGACUCCAAGUUCUGCUUG
rnacentral:snRNA from 1 species